CGUGAGUGGCGGACGGGUGAGUAACGCGUGGGUAACCUGCCUCAUACAGGGGGAUAACGGUUAGAAAUGACUGCUAAUACCGCAUAAGACCACAGCACCGCAUGGUGCAGGGGUAAAAACUCCGGUGGUAUGAGAUGGACCCACGUCUGAUUAGGUAGUUGGUGGGGUAACGGCCUACCAAGCCGACGAUCAGUAGCCGACCUGAGAGGGUGACCGGCCACAUUGGGACUGAGACACGGCCCAA
rnacentral:rRNA from 1 species